rnacentral:lncRNA from 1 species
GGCAGAACUAAUGCAGUCGUGUCGGGAUUACAGAGUCACACCUGUUGCGUUUAGUGAUCAUUGUUUGGUUUCUUUCUGUGUUGGAAAACAAAGAAGGAAUAACAAAGUACUUUCUUGGCAUCUCUGGAAAUUUAAUGCAAGCUUGCUGAAAGAUGACGAGUUCUGUAAGCAGUUUCUCGAG